rnacentral:rRNA from 1 species
GACGAACGCUGGCGGCGUGCCUAAUACAUGCAAGUAGAACGCUGAAGGAGGAGCUUGCUUCUCUGGAUGUGUUGCGAACGGGUGAGUAACGCGUAGGUAACCUGCCUGGUAGCGGGGGAUAACUAUUGGAAACGAUAGCUAAUACCGCAUAACAGUAGAUAUCGCAUGAUAUCUACUUGAAAGGUGCAAUUGCAUCACUACCAGAUGGACCUGCGUUGUAUUAGCUAGUUGGUGAGGUAACGGCUCACCAAGGCGACGAUACAUAGCCGACCUGAGAGGGUGAUCGGCCACACUGGGACUGAGACACGGCCCAGACUCCUACGGGAGGCAGCAGUAGGGAAUCUUCGGUAAUGGACGGAAGUCUGACCGAGCAACGCCGCGUGAGUGAAGAAGGGUUUCGGAUCGUAAAGCUCUGUUGUAAGAGAAGAACGAGUGUGAGAGUGGAAAGUUCACACUGUGACGGUAUCUUACCAGAAAGGGACGGCUAACUACGUG